ensembl:lncRNA LINC01905 long intergenic non-protein coding RNA 1905
AUGGGAAAUAUGGGAAAAGCAAUCCUGGACAGCUUCAAGGAGCAAGGCAAACUUGAGCUCAGCCUUCAAGCAUGGGUAGAAUUUGGACUCAAGGAAGGACACAGGGAAUAUUAAAAGCAAAGAAGCUCUUUAUGACUACCAAUGAAGACAUUAACCUGACCAGAGAGGAGGAUACAGAGCUGAGAGAUGGAUCGGCCUUCCCCGUGGAGCACUCUGAGACAUGUCAUAGCUCAUUGACAUCUCGCAAUACAGGUCAAAAAGUUAGGUUCUGUCAAUAGAAGAUACUAAAGAAAGAAAGCCAGGAGAAGAAAAGGGACUUCUUUCUUCAAGGUCUAAGCUGUUCUAAUAGCAUUAUUCUGGGAAUGGCAUCUUCCACUCCUCCUAGUACAAAGAACCUGCUUCCUCAUACCCCGUCAAGGAACUGCAGCAUCCAGGUACUUUCUCUGCCUCAAAGGUCUGCAUCCCAUUCUCCAUUUGGCCCCUCCUUUGAACUACCAGAUCUCCGGCUGGAUUGCCUUUUUGUUCUGGAAUUUUCUAAAUUUCUUUAUUAAAUUUCCCAGUUGAAAUUCCCAA